rnacentral:rRNA from 1 species
UACAGAGGUCUCGAGCGUUGUUCGGAUUCAUUGGGCGUAAAGGGCGCGUAGGCGGCGGGGUAAGUCUGGUGUGAAAUCUCGGAGCUCAACUCCGAAAUUGCACUGGAUACUGCUCUGCUAGAGGGCUGGAGAGGAGAUCGGAAUUCACGGUGUAGCAGUGAAAUGCGUAGAUAUCGUGAGGAAGACCAGUGGCGAAGGCGGAUCUCUGGACAGCUCCUGGACGCUGAGGCGCGAAGGCUAAGGGAGCAAACGGG